AUGGCCUGGACCCCUCUCCUCCUCGGAUUCCUGGCUCACUGGGCAGGAUCCAUGGCCUCCUAUGUGCUGACUCAGCCUCCCUCAAUGUCAGUGAACCUGGGACAGACGGUCAGGAUGACCUGUGGGGGAAACAACAUUGGAAGUGAAAGUGUCUACUGGUACCAGCAGAAGCCGGGCCAGGCCUCUGUGCUGAUUAUCUAUGGUGAUAGCUAACGGCCCUCAGGGAUCCCUGACUGGUUCUCAGGCACCACCUCAGGGAACAUGGCCACCCUGACCAUCAGCGGGGUCUGGGCCGAGGACGAGGCUGAGUAUUACUGUCAGGUAUGGGACAGCAAUGCUGAUGCUCCUCAUGGUGACGAUGACGACCCCAGCAAGGCCACUCCCAAUGUGGCCGCUCUGGACGAGGCUGCUCCCCAGACAGGGCCACUCCCCGAACAGGGGCUGCUCUGGUGA